UGGACAUCUUUCAGGAGGCUCUGCACGCGCUCGCACACACAACAUCAGACAACACGGAUGCGCAUACUUCAUCUUCAGUGCAAGACCAUGCGGAGGUUGGUUGAUGCGGUCUCACAAACAACGGCAUCAUAAAAGAUAGAAGCAUCUGUGGAUCGUCAGAAAACGGCGCCAUCUUCAACAAACCAUUCAACAACGUCGAAGGUCGCUUACUUCAAGAGGAAAUAUGCGGAGGAAGAGGUUUUGCAUCGAAGCCUACGAGGAUAUUUUCAAAAACACCUGAUCCUGCAGGAGGACCGGAGCUGCAUCCUCAAGUUAUCCCUGGAGAAACUGCGGUUCCUGGAGGACCCCGAGGCCUACUUGAGGCGCUCCGUCCUCAUCAACAACCUACUCAGAAAGAUCCACCAUGAAGAAGAGGAGGAGGUGGUAGAAGAAGAAGAAGAGGAGGCAGAGAGGAAGAGGGUGAAGGUUCCAGUGGGCGACUGUGGGUCUCCGCCAUUGAGCUUGGAGAAAUUCCAGUGCUACCGUUUAAUUCCGUGCUACAGGCCUCGGGAGAUGCUCGAACCUGAGCACAGAAUGCUUCUUUUGGACCAGCACAGCUGACUGCGUUAACAGCAGCCGGCAGACAUUUUCGAGGAGAUUCUGCACAUAAGAGAAUCAUCUCACACCCAAAGUUUCUUGUGGUUCUCUGAUGGAAUUGUUUGUUUGAGGUGAACAGCCCUGGACGCUGUGAUUCGCGGCUUGCUGUCCUGUCCGUGGGAAAACAGCGCUCUGCUGACCUCUAGUGGAAAAUUAUUUUAAUUCCAGAUUUCUUUCAUUUAUUUUGUUUACUUUUAAAUUUCAAUCUUUAUAAAAUUAUUGUUAAUCCUUUACAGCGCCCGUGAUUAUUUUUGGUAACUAAAAAAAACCCCAAAAAACACAACAACCCUAUAAAAGCCUUGCGUUCACAUACGUGGACAUCCACGAACGUGGAUGCUAGGUCUCAAUUAUAAUAAUUAUUUUUUUAAAUUGUAUUUUCUAUUAAUCUAAAAUUAUUAAAAUUAAAAUUAAAAUUGAUGAACACAGGAAUAAACUGGCUAUGGCCCACAAUACUACACUAAAGUCGAUUUUUAUUUUUUCAACCAACAAAAAGGAAAAUAGAAGCGGAGACACAGAGACAGAAGAGGAGAGGAACAAACAACAAGAAAUACAUUGAAAGCCAACGCUACCAAUGAAAAAAAGUUGUGCUAUUGUUAGCUAAUUGUAUUUCCUGUGGACACCAUUUAGGGGGCCGAGGAAAAGGAGGGGGAGUGAGUCAGAAAGAGAUGCGAUUAGGCGUGGUGGAGUGUACACAAAUGUGAGGUGUAGAACCCAGUAAUAUGUGAAACACUAUCAUCCUAUUCUAUGCUGCCUUAUCGCUAAUCCUGGCACUGGCAUCCUCUCUAUUUGGGUGUGUCUAAUUGCAACCAGUCAUGCGUGAAUCCCAUCAGACGUAUGAUAGUUGUGCAGACAAGUGGAAAUGCUGUGCUGAGGCUGCUCCAGAGCCACAGCCCCUCCCCAGCCAAUCGGGGUGCCGAGCCAGCGCUGGCCAUCGUUUUUUGUUUUUUUUUCAUAGUAUUUAAAUUAGUGACCUGUAAAGGUUUGAAGGUGGUUUUGAUUGGGUUUAAUUGUUUAUUUUAUCAAAGACUAUUCUGAUGUUUUACAAUGUAUUUCAUUAAAUAUUAUUUUGUCGUUGAUUUUUUUAAGCAAAUGUAUUUCAAUUUUGUUUUCAGAUAUAAUAUCAGUGGCGUUACCAGGAUGCCAGGUGUGGGUGGGCAUUAGUCUUACCUGAGGGGGCAAAAAAUAAUAAAAUAAAAUGAAAAAAAAAAAAAAAAAAGCUACAAUGCUCAAGUAGGUCGAAAUCCAACGUAGGGCUAUUGCACCUUAAAACAUGUUUUGUUUUCUCUUUGAGAUAACUGUUGUCCUUUGGUCGAAACAAAUAAAAGUUGAUUUGAUUUGACUUAGAACACAUCCAUAACUGAACAGUAUGGACAUCCAGGUGACAAUGGUUUUUUUUUUUUGUUAACCUAUUGUGGUUCCUCGGUCUUAUUAUUAUUAUUAUUAUUAUAGUUAUUCUUUGUUCCGCAGCCCUUUUGAGCUCAAUUUGACCGCCUUAGAAUGCGUCAAAAUGCACCAAAAUCAGCAGGCAGGUCAAGACAGGUGCACUCUCUUGUGUAAAGACAAAUUUUAAAUACACUAUGUAGCGCCCCCUAGCAGUCAUUCUUUGUCCCGCCGACGCUUUGAGCCCUACUUUGACCCUCUCAGAAUGCUUCAAAACUCACCAAACUCAACAACUUGAAAACUUUUUUUUUUUUUUUCUUUAAACCUGUCCUGUUCAGCUGUUUGACACGGAGAAUGGAACUCUAAAGUGCCCGGAUAGUCUGAGCAGUUUUAAUGUUUCAUAUUGAGAGUCUGACAUACUCCCAUUGUGAUCAUUCAACAUACCUCGUUUAUUAUGACAAAGCAGCGAACAAGAAGGGGUUAUGGGGGAACAGAAGAAAAGAAACACAAGAAAAGAAAGAAAAACACAAACUACAACAAGAAAUACAUUGAACAUCUAGACCAAUUACUAAUAUGUUGGUGCUAUCGUCAGCUAGAUGUAUUUCCGGUUGACACCAUGUGGGGGCCCUGUUGACCAGGGAAAGAGGGGGGACGGGGGUGGGGGAGUCUAUAAGCUAAAUGAUUGAAAGGAGUAGAGUGUACACAAAUCAGCUCUGUGAACUAGAACCCAUUAAUCGUGUGAAUCCCUUGUGAGUGUAAGCCCGUUGGCGACCAACCCUACGCCGCCCCAUCGCCAAUCCUGGCACCGUGACCCCCCCAUCCGAGCGCGCCCUAUCACAUCCAGGCGCACGACAGCCACGCAGACGAGCGGAGACGCCACGCAGGCGCCAACCCAGAGCCACGGCCCCCACCCAGCCAACACUGGUGAAAACUUUGAUAAAAUGUAAAAAAAUAUAUAUAUAUCAAAAUAUGCGUAAAUGUGUAUAGCGCCCCCUAGGAACAAAACCAACAUUUCAUUUUUUUUUUUU